GUGGCACAUGAUGUAUAUACUUUUAUGUUUUUUCAUAUUUGUAGGAUGUAUGGAUUUAUGGAAUCUCACAUGUUGCUUUAUAAAAUAGUGUUGGAGUUUUUGUUUUAUAGAUUUAUGGAUUUAACAUAAAAAAAUUAACAAAAAAUUAUGAUCUUAAUAAUUUAAUAAAAAAAUUUAAAAAAAAUACUUGAACUGAUCCAGCGAUAGAUCGGCUAGAUCCUGCGAUCAACUGCAUUGGCACACUUUACAUGCCAUAGUGGUCGAUCACACAGGCCGAGUUGGCUCACUCGAUUGGCUCGAUGUACAGCGGUCAAUCAAAAUCACCAAGCGGUCGACCACAUGCAAAGGCAAAUUGCACUCCUG
rnacentral:lncRNA from 1 species